rnacentral:rRNA from 1 species
AUUGAACGCUGGCGGCAGGCUUAACACAUGCAAGUCGAGCGGGGGAAGGUAGCUUGCUACCGGACCUAGCGGCGGACGGGUGAGUAAUGCUUAGGAAUCUGCCUAUUAGUGGGGGACAACAUCUCGAAAGGGAUGCUAAUGCCGCAUACGUCCUACGGGAGAAAGCAGGGGAUCUUCGGACCUUGCGCUAAUAGAUGAGCCUAAGUCGGAUUAGCUAGUUGGUGGGGUAAAGGCCUACCAAGGCGACGAUCUGUAGCGGGUCUGAGAGGAUGAUCCGCCACACUGGGACUGAGACACGGCCCAGACUCCUACGGGAGGCAGCAGUGGGGAAUAUUGGACAAUGGGCGGAAGUCUGAUCCAGCCAUGCCGCGUGUGUGAAGAAGGCCUUAUGGUUGUAAAGCACUUUAAGCGAGGAGGAGGCUACUUUAGUUAAUACCUAGAGAUAGUGGACGUUACUCGCAGAAUAAGCACCGGCUAACUCUGUGCCAGCCGCCGCGGUAA